rnacentral:rRNA from 1 species
UACGGAGGAUCCAAGCGUUAUCCGGAUUUAUUGGGUUUAAAGGGAGCGUAGGCGGACUAUUAAGUCAGCUGUGAAAGUUUGCGGCUCAACCGUAAAAUUGCAGUUGAUACUGAUCGUCUUGAGUGCAGUAGAGGUAGGCGGAAUUCGUGGUGUAGCGGUGAAAUGCUUAGAUAUCACGAAGAACUCCGAUUGCGAAGGCAGCUUACUGGACUGUAACUGACGCUGAUGCUCGAAAGUGUGGGUAUCAAACAGG